GAUGCGGGGUAAAGCUCGUAGUUGGAUUCUGCCGAGGAGACCGGUCCGCCCUCUGGUGAGUAUCUGGCUCGGCCUGGGCAUCUUCUUGGAGAACGUAUCUGCACUUGACUGUGUGGUGCGGUAUCCAGGACUUUUACUUUGAGGAAAUUAGAGUGUUUCAAGCAGGCCCACGCCUUGAAUACAUUAGCAUGGAAUAAUAAUAUAGGACUUUGGUUCUAUUUUGUUGGUUUCUAGAACUAAAGUAAUGAUUAAUAGGGAUAAUUGGGGGCAUUUGUACUAUCGAGUCAGAGGUGGAAUUCUUGGAUUUCGAUAUGACAAACUACUGCGAAAGCAUUUGCCAAGGAUGUUUUCAUUGAUCAAGAACGAAAGUAUGGGGAUCGAAGAUGAUUAGAUACCGUCGUAGUCUAUACCAAUAAACUUAUACCGACUAGAGAUUGGAGGUCGUUCUUUUUUAUGACUCCUUCAGCCACCUUUAUGAAGAAAUCAAAGUCUUUGGGG
rnacentral:rRNA from 1 species